CCAUCUGCUCCAGCAUCCCCCUUCCGCAGACACAGCAAGCUCAGUGGAGAGAGGUUAGGGGGCUGGCAGAGGUUGAAUAAGUAGCUGAUGUCAGGACUCAUCCUGUGACUGGGUUGUCCUGGGCUCUUCCUAACACACCAAGGAGACCUGAUGAUGAGUGAGAACGAAGUCGCCGCAAGCCGAUGGUGUAUCGUUUUUAGGAGCAAGAACUCUGGCUUGGAAGUCAAGAGGCCUCAUGACAGUCCUGACUCUAUGUCCCUCUACAGCUCAGCUGCCUUUACCGUAAAAGGAAGAGUGCAUGUGUGCACGCGUGUGGGCAUUCCCACACACUAUGCAUGGGGUAAAGAGCUGUUGUAUCAAUUACUGGAUAUAAAAUGCUUAAAACAGUGCCCAGGACACAGCACUCAAAAAAUAUUAGUGAUCAUCACGUUCUCUCCAUUCCAUCGUGGACACACCAGGAUUAUUUCUCAUGUCAAAAUAAAGCUCUGGAUACCUAUUAGCCUAAA